rnacentral:piRNA from 1 species
UGCUCAAUGCCACUGCCCACAACUGA